GAAAAAUCUGCCCACAUAUGACUCAUUGAUCCAAGACCUCUGAUACAGAUCAGAGCCUUUCCCAUCCACAACCAAUUUUUCUCUUCGUUUUACAUAUUGGGGUAGCUGAGUAUAGUGACUGGCUACAGACUGGACGACGGGUUUGAUCCCCGACGGGGAAAGGAUUUUUUUCUCUAGCCUUUGCAUCCAGAUCAGCUCUAGGGCCCAUCCAGCCUCCUAUCCAAUGGAUACUGGGGCGUGACGCUAACCAUUCAACCCCACCUACUACCAAGGUUAAGAAUGAGUGAGCCAUACCACCUCUUCCCCCAAACGCCUACAUGGUAUAUACUUUUACUUUUUACAUAGAUUCAGGAGAAGAUGGUGACCUCACUUUCUAAUUAGAGGUGCAUCACUACCCUUUGGUCACAUUGUUUAUGAAAACUUGAAUAGAAAUUUUCUGGAUUGAGAUAGGAGUACCAGUUUCAUGGCCAUGUAAGUUUAACCCCACUAUGAAAUGAAACUUGAAACUUGCUGCUGAACUAUACCUACAGCUACACCUGCAAUUCGGUAUUUGAACUAAUGAUAUAGUAAUAACAGUAUUCAAGCUCCAUUCCCUCUUUUAACCAUCAGUCCGUCUUAUCUCAAGUUGAUGCCAUCAACCUGCCUGGCCUUCAUCUUUUUCUCACAAGUUCGUCUUCCAUCCAGUCAACGCAAUGGAUUAUCUUCUCCGGGUCUGCUGGGGGCGGGUACACCAACUCGCUUACGUCCUGUCUGUCGCAGUUACUAUAUGCCGUCGACACGUGGACAAGAGCCUGGAACAAUACCACUCCUUAGCUUCAACCGACUAGAUAAUUGCGGUCUCCAGUCGCAGUCCCAGAACUGAAAGACAAAAGAAGACGUUUCACACAUCGGCGUGUUCACGCGACGCGAAAAGUGAGACGGCUGUGUACGCACGCCAUAUGUUUCUCAGGCAUUGUCUCUGUAACUCCGUAUGAGAGUAAUGCAGUUGUAGGGCACACAGAAACCUUAUGACCGAGCAUGCCGAUGUACAAGAAAACUUUGCCUCCGUCACUUUGUACCAGACUUCACGGCGCAAUACACGACAAUGUCAUAUUCAUAUUCAUACUCGUCGCCGUGAGAACCCGAAAUGUCAUUUAGUCUCCUUAUCAGGACGUUUCAGAAAAGGUGACAUUGAAGAAUGGACAGGCUGAGGGAAGCCAGUUGCAUCGGCUAGAAGUCUUCGUAUUGCUUAACUGGAAUGAAAUCUUUGCUCAAAUACACAUAGGGCUCGUGUAAGUGGAAUGUUUUAGAUUUUAGCUGCAGAUACGAGCUGGUUGCAGAGAGAUUAGAGCUAUUGAACGUUGUUCAGUUUAAUUCAGAAUCAUAUCUAUUCUUGUACCAUAUCUAAGAGCCUAAAAUAUUUAUAAGUUCACCAAUUUUUGUAGGUGCGGAACUUGGUCUCUUACUCUGCUUAGAAAAUAUUUAGCGUAUUUAGAAUGUUUUGUGAAAAGAACGAAAUGAUGAGAAUAUUUUGACCUGAAAAAUAGUAAGUAGCAAGAUCAUUAGAGAUAAUUACGUGACGAAGAGCUUUGACUUUAUAUGUGAGGGUGACUAAAUCAGGAAGAAUGGGAUGAGAAAUAUUUGUAACAUGCCUACAAAAUUAUAGUCUGAAAACUUACACGGAAGACACCACUUCAAUGACGUAGACAAAGAUGGGGGAGGAUGAUAUUAAAAUGGAUAUUAGCAAAAUAGAGAAUGAAAUUGAGAAAUCGAUUGAAUCAACGUGGAACGAAGCCCAGUGGUACGCUUUUGCGAAAACGAUAAUUAACUUUCGUGUUUAAUUUAAUUUGUGCCAACUGAUGAAUAUUCAACGUUUUGUGCGUGGGUCUGUGUCAUGAAGUAAUUUACCAACUACUUAUUUUAAAACUUAAACGUAUCUUAAAACGAUAACAAUUAGUCCACCUACUUCCGCUGAAAUUCCCUUCAGACUAUAAUUUCGCAAGACUCUCGCAUUACUUCUUACUUGGUUUUACAUAAAGCGUGAAAAAUUCCUU